CGUACCUAAGCCCUAGGAGAAAUCCGAUGCAAACGGCGAUGGGAAACGCACUGAACUCAUAUUUUUUGGUGAGACACAGACCCUUGCGCGGGCGAAAGGGAAUCCGGUUCCUAUUCCGGAACCCGGCAGCGGAACCGUUGUUUGUCGGGCCCUCACAAGGGGUUCGUCAGGGCAACCUAAAAGGGCCCGGAGACGCCGUCGGGGGCCCCGGAAAGAGUUUUCUUUUC
rnacentral:rRNA from 1 species